rfam:Xenopus tropicalis strain Nigerian Chr10_contig_517, whole genome shotgun sequence.
GGAGGUAUAGCUCAGGGGUAGAGCAUUUGACUGCAGAUCAAGAAGUCCCCAGUUCAAGUCUGGGUGCCCCCU